rfam:Schistosoma mansoni strain Puerto Rico chromosome 6, complete genome
AUCUAGCUGUUGAGUCCUAAAUAGGACGAAACGUGCGUUCUAGAU